GGACACUUGGAUGCGUUCACUUAGUCAUGAAAGAUCCACAGAGGAGGGCCCUUGAUGGGAGAGCUUAGUUAUGAAGCUUACGGAUAUUGAUCGUAUUACUCGACAAGAGCACCCAGACCACUUGAUCUGGAGGAAGCCAGCUGCCAUAGCAUGAGGACAGUUAGUGGACUAUGAAGAGGCCCAGGUGGUUAGGAAGUGAGGACCUCUGCGAACAGCUGAAGAAGAACUGGCCUUUUGUCAACAGUUCCAUGCUGUUUUUGUACAACAGAAGCUAUAUAAGCACCUACUUACCAGCACAGUACCACAGAUGCUACAAGGGAGAUCCUUUACCAAACGCCACAGUAUCCAACAAAACUGAAGAUACACAUACCACCAGAAAGGUUAUCAGAAUCCUGCUCCUAGACAUGCAUGCAACAGAAAUAGGUGCACAUGUACAUCAAAAGACAUGUAUAUGGAUGUGGAGAAAAGGGAACCCUCCUACACUCUUGGUGGGAUUAUAAAUUGGUGCAGCCACUAUGGAAAACAGUAUGGAAGAUCUUCAAAAAAUUAAAAAUAGAACUGUUACCAGUUUUGAUUCCCUCUCAUGGGACUUAAACCCACAAUUAGAAGGGACCCAAGGAAGAACCCAG
rnacentral:lncRNA from 1 species